UACAGAGGUCCCAAGCGUUGUUCGGAUUCAUUGGGCGUAAAGGGCGCGUAGGCGGCGCAACAAGUCACUUGUGAAAUCUCCGGGCUUAACUCGGAGCGGCCAAGUGAUACUGUCGUGCUAGAGUGCGGAAGGGGCAACUGGAAUUCUCGGUGUAGCGGUGAAAUGCGUAGAUAUCGAGAGGAACACCUGCGGCGAAGGCGGGUUGCUGGGCCGACACUGACGCUGAGGCGCGAAAGCCAGGGGAGCGAACGGG
rnacentral:rRNA from 1 species